ensembl:Y_RNA Y_RNA Y RNA
GGCUGAUCUGAAUGCAGUGAUGCAGCCAACUAACUGAUCAUAGGCAGUUUCAGCAUUCUUCCUUCUCCACUCUCACUGCUUCACUUACUAGCCUAAA